rnacentral:lncRNA from 1 species
GGACUGUAAGGCAAAGAUAUGCCGCGAGUUGUUCAAAUUCACAUGGCUAAUUAGAGGCAGAGUAGUCAGCAGCGAUGGCUGGGGAUCCUCGUCUGCUGUCCUUUUCUCUAUUUGGCACAGCUGGUUGAAGUACAUCUCCUACUCACUUUUAGUGUGUGUCCAAGAUCAAGAAAGUUUUUGUCUCAAAUUUUACUUUCUGCAGUCUGAAAUUAUACUUUUCUUCUAAGUAAUAUGCUAAUAAAAUAUUAACAAUCCAUCAGAAUCCCCUUUUGUGUAAAACAUAAAACCAAAUAUAAUAUCGUCCACUUACAUGGUUGACUAUGAAUAGAAAUCUAUCUUUUUUAAAGUAAAUAACUCAAUUAUUGAGGAAGAGAAUGGUGAGGUCCAAUUACAUCAUUGCUUUAUUGAACACAGUGACCACUUAAGGCCAUUAUCGCACUGGGUUCACGUAAUGAAUAUAUUAGUGGUUGAUUUGUUAGCAGUUGAAGCUUUCCACUUUUUUGCGUAGCUAUUCAUUUUAAAAUGUGGAGAGAUUAAUGUAAAUGGGACUCCAAAGUUAUUCAAGUGAAAUGACACGCACAGAAUUAAAGAGGCUUCAUAGCUGAACGCUGACUCAUACUUGCCUUUUUCUUUUGAUUUUUUGUGUUUGCUAAGUUACUAAGAGACAACAGCCAAACAUUGACCAUUUAGUAGAAAAUAAUCCUAAUUGAAGGAGAAGCAUGGUUGCCUUACUGAAAAUGGAGCAUAAAUAUAUCAUGAAGUACUUGCUUCAUGAGUCUUUUUGGGCUCUCAUAACAACAUAUCAUAGAUGGGGUAUCUUGAACAAUAAAAAGUUGCUUUUCACAGUUCUGGAGGCUGGGAAGUCCAAAAUCAAGGUGCCUGCCAAUUUCGUUCCUACUGAGGACCCUCUCCAGGCUCGCAGAUGGCUGCCUUCCCUCUGUGUCCUCACAUGGUGGAGACAGAGUUCUGGUGUUGCUUCCUCUUAUAUCUUCCUCACUCUUAUGACCUCAUUUCACCCUUAUCACCUUCUCACAGGCCCCAUCUCCAAACACAGUCAUAUUGGGGGAAAGAGAUUCAACACAUGGAUUUUGGAGGAAUACAAACAUUUAGUACAUAAUACUCCCUAUGUUUAAGUAGAUGAAGGAAGGAACCACAAGAAAAGAUAUAAGUAAUCAGAAGAAUAAUGGCCAAAGAAUUGUGAUUAGUCAAGUUUGAUUUUGUCCUGGCUAGAUGACUGCCAUCUUUGAUGAAAAUGUCUUCUGGUUUGAGCAAGGGAAACUGAAGAUAUAAGUUUUUUGUACCAGACUUAUUCUUACACGACUUUGGAAAAUUAUUUGAACAAGAGACACAGAAAUGAAUAGGUUUUAAUCAGCCAGUUAAAUGCUGUAUGGCUAAAGGAAAAUAGGGUAUGCUGCAAUCUUUAUGCUUCUUUAAUGACAAGCAUAGGCACGAUGCAAGAAGAUCGUAUAGAAGAUUAAAUAUUUAUGCUCUUAAAUUUAUAAUGAGGUUAUGUUGUUAGGAAGACCAAAUUAAAUGUCUAGGAGUUGAGUCCAAUUUAUUGACGCCCAAUGCGUGUGUUAAAUCAACUAUAAGGACUAAAUUAUACAUGUACCAGGAGCACACGUAUCAGAGGGCUCACACAAACUUCCCUCCUCAGCUCAUUGAAGGAAAUUGUCCAUUGCAUUUUUAGAAUCUACCAGAACAGCAGGAAUGAGCUCCCUGGAGAAUAAUGCAAAUUUUUAUUUUUACAGACAAUACAUGGAUACCAUUUUUAAAAUGCCUGUUCAUGUACUUUGCCAAUUUUUCUAUAGAGUUUUGUAUAUAAAGCUUAAAACUAAUGGAAUAAAUAAGUAAAUAAAUAUAUUUUUUAAAUUUCU